GAUUUUUAAGUAAUUCAUUAGCGCGGUUUGGUUUUAUGUGGAUUUUCGAAGAUGAUUGUUAAGGAUUUUUAAGUUUCCCGACAAGCAGGAGAUGUAAAAAUCCUUAAAGAUCGUCUAUGGCAAUCCGUAUAAAACCGAUCUAUUGCAAACUGUGCUAUUUGAGGGACAUCUGUAUCAAUCAAGCAACCAGUAUUGGAACAUAGCAAUAUAUAGGUUGAUAUUACAAGACAUUUUCAUUUCUCACAUUUAUUUCUAAAGGCUAAAGAAGGGAUCAUUUGGGUUCUAAUGAGUGUUUCUUUAGGUUCACGGUACAGAGGAAGGGUCACACUACCACCAGGGUCAUAAAACUACUCCUGGAAAUGCCCACAACUCCUAGGAAAGCCUUGUCAAAUAUGUGUUUCUAGGUUCAUGGUACAGAAGAAGGGUCAAACUACCACCAGGGUCAUAAAACUACUCCUGGAAAUGCCCACAACUCCUACGAAAGCCUUGUCAAAUAUGUGUUUCUAGGUUCAUGGUACAGAAGAAGGGUCAAACUACCACCAGGGUCAUAAAACUACUCCUGGAAAUGCCCACAACUCCUAGGAAAGCCUUGUCAAAUAUGUGUUUCUAGGUUCAUGGUACAGAGGAAGGGUCACACUACCACCAGGGUCAUAAAACUACUCCUGGAAAUGCCCACAACUCCUAGGAAAGCCUUGUCAAAUAUGUGUUUCUAGGUUCAUGGUACAGAAGAAGGGUCGAACUACCACCAGGGUCAUAAAACUACUCCUGGAAAUGCCCACAACUCGCACGAAAGCCUUGUCAAAUAUGUGUUCUUGGGCGGCGAAAUGUCUUAAUACGACCCAUAGUGUUUGUGUAAGCCUGUUUUGCCAGUAGACUCUCUUGGGGGCCUCUUGGAUGACCCAGCCCAUUAGUGACGAACGCAAAUAUCUUUCAUCCAUAGUUACUGCUGUGGUAUAUGACCCAUCCUUUGCCCCAUGCUGCCCAAAUUUCGCGUAGAACCAGGAAGGCUUGUGCUUACUGUGUGGCUGCGAGACAUGGAGAGUGACUUGGAGAGGCCUGGCGAUGUCUUUGUAGGAGGAUCACAGGGUUUCGCUGGAAUGUCUCUGUGUUGAACCAGUGACUGAAUCGAGGCCCGUCACCAGCUUAAGUCUGUGAAUCCCAACUCUGGCUGUGUGGGCGUGUGGCAUGCAUGUGGCCUGGGUGUUGAUGCUGCUCACAGGGUUGUUUGUGUACGAGACAACCCUGGGUGGAGGAGGCCAAGUGGAUGCCCUCAUAACUCAUGGCUGGGGCAAGGAAUCCAGUCCUGCCGGGAGGGACAGGGUGGUCGCACUGCCGGGAAUAUGGACGGUGAGUGAGUGUAGCGACGCGCCCCAGGUGUAUGCUCCACAUUAGUUGGCUAGUUUUCAGUAUCAGCUUGGAGAUUUAAUGGACCCGAAUUUAACGGACCACAAAAUCUCAACGGAAAAAUCUACCCGUCAAUGAACGUUCUGUCCGUUGGUGGGUAUUUGUCCGGUGUGACUCUGGCUUUCGAAACGUCAAAGCCUUAAAAUAACAACAUCACACACAGUUAUAUUAUUGAUCAAACCGCUUGCAUUGCCUCCCUUAAGAUUGAGGAGGGUGAAGCCCCCCCCCCCUCCCAUUACGUAGGUUAGGUUAAGUUAGGUUUGGUUAUUUGGCUGGUGGUUUGUGGCGGCAGAAAUACAAAGCGCGGAACGGGACAUGGCAGCGACGUGUGGGGUCCUAUGCGUGGGCCUGUCUGUCACGCCCCUUUUCUUUGGGGACUGCCGGGGUGGACCAGAUGAGACGGAGCUUGUUAAUCCCGCCUUGUGGAUUCCUGGAACAUCCUGAACCCCAUGGAGGAUCAAUGAGUACCUUAUAUAUCACCUCAACUCAGGAGGUUCAGAGUGGGGCUCUCUGAGAUGGGGAGACCUGGCAAUGGAGAGAUCAAUAGAGGGGGUCAUGCCAAGUGCUGGGCGGGCCAGAGCGAUGGUGCCCGUCUCAAGAGUAACUAUAGCCGCUUCGUGGUGCAGUGGUUAGCACACUCGGCUCACAAUCGAGAGAGCCCGGGUUCGAUUCCUGGGUGGAGUGGAAAAAUUUGGGCGGCUUUUCCGAUACCCUACGCCCCUGUCCACCCAGCAGUGAAUGGGUACCAGGUAUUAAUCGGGGGUUGUGUCCUGUCUCCUGGGGUCUGUUCCCUUCUCCUAUAAUUCCUUCCCCUUCUGUCUCUCUUCGGCAUAUGACCACAGAUGUUGCGCCGACUAAACCAAACUUUCCAACUGUUCCCUUCUCCUAUAAUUCCUUCCCCUUCUGUCUCUCUCCGGCAUAUGACCACAGAUGUCGCGCCGACUAAACCAAACUUUCCAACUGUUCCCUUCUCCUAUAAUUCCUUCCCCUUCUGUCUCUCUCCGGCAUAUGACCACAGAUGUUGCGCCGACUAAACCAAACUUUCCAACUGUUCCCUUCUCCUAUAAUUCCUUCCCCUUCUGUCUCUCUCCGGCAUAUGACCACAGAUGUCGCGCCGACUAAACCAAACUUUCCCUGUUUUACUGUAAAGCUGUGAGACAUGGACAGUGCAUGGUGACUUGAAGAGGUGUAUCGAUAUGCUUGCUACCAAAUGCCGUUACAGGGUCAAAGGGUAUCGCUGGAAUGACUUUGUGUGUACUUGAUGAAGCUGAAUUGAGGCCU